UUAUGUAACAAAUAUCUUUCAAAGGAUCACACUUGUGGGGGCACAAGGAUAAGAAAGAUAUUUCAGGAAGGUGAACGAAGGAAAUCCAUUUAGGUUUUCUUUGACUAAAGUCAUUCUUCUCCAUCAGUAGUGCCUCUAUUCUGAUUUCUGCUUCUUCGGUGCUUCAAUCAGUGCUUCCAUCGUUGGUGUCGCUCCCAAUCUCGUCUCUCGUUUGUGAGUUUGAGUGGUUGUGGAGUUGAGGGUUGUGGUCUCUGGUUUACGUUUCGACUUGUGUCGCUUCAGUGGUGUAUGACUUUGAGGUAGGUUUUUUUCAAAUUUUUUGUGUGGUAGUUUUACCCUUUUGAGCACUACCAGUGAUGAUGUUGUUUUUUUUGUUUAUAGUUGUUGUUUGGAUGAAAAAGGUUGUAUAAACUACUUGUUAUUUUUGCUGUUACUGCAGUAGAAAAUCUUGUUGUAUUGGGCUGUUUUGAUUGUUGUUACUGCACCAGAAACUUUACUGUUUUAACAUUAAAUUGGUGCAGAAAAUUGUUUGUUGUUUUGAUUAGAAUGCUACAAAAAAUUGUUUGCUGUUUUGAUGCUGUUACUGCAGAAAAAUUAUUUGUUGUUUGGGUUAAAAUUGUUGCAGGAAUUCUCUGCUGUUACUACAAAAAAUUGUUUUUUUUGUUUAUAGUUGUUGUUUGGAUGAAAAAGGUUGUAUAAACUGCUUGUUAUUUUUGCUGUUACUGCAGUAGAAAAUCUUGUUGUAUUGGGCUGUUUUGAUUGUUGUUACUGCACCAGAAACUCUUAUAUUACAAAGUAUUUAUUCAAAAAGAGCUUAUGAUGUGAGAGCUAUGUCAUAAGUUAAGUUUCACUGUAAAGCUAAUUCAAUUCAGAUAAAGCUAAAUAGAAUUUAUAAGAUGAUCCUAACCUCACAUUUUUCACUUUUUAACUAUUUUUUAUGAUUAAUGAUAAGAUAAAUCCAAACAAGUUUCAUAGAAGUUUUUUCAAAUGGUCCCAUAGUCAUGUUUUAAAGAUAUAUUUUUUGAGUAGUAAACUCGUUUACUUUUCUCCAGCUAUGUGGUUCCAUUCUUGAUUUAUUGAUUGACAUACUACUUCUCUGCCUCUAUUCCCAUUCCUUUUCUUGCUCUUUAUAUGUUUAUAUUGUAGAUCCCAUCCUCAUUCUACAAAUUUAUUCUGAAUAAAUGUUUUUUAUUUUUAUAUAUAUAUAUAUAUAUGUAUGUGUGUGUAUGUGUAUGUGUAUGUGUAUGUGUAUGUGUAUGUGUAUGUGUAUGUGUAUGUGUAUGUGUAUGUGUAUGUGUGUGUGUGUGUGUGUGUGUAUGUGUAUGUGUAUGUGUGUGUGUGUGUGUGUGGAACACAGAAGACAGGUAAAAAAUAAUUUAUUCACUUAUGAGGGUGCUAUGUAGGUCUUUAUAAAGAUUAAGGUAACUAUUUUUAACUGCUUUUCCUAACUGAGUUUCUGACACAGCACAUUCAGUUGUAACUACACGAUAUAUGUUACUUGUAUACUAGCCAUGCUACACUCUUAUAUUACAAAGUAUUUAUUCAAAAAGAGCUUAUGAUGUGAGAGCUAUGUCAUAAGUUAAGUUUCAAUUCGGAUAAAGCUAAAUAGAAUUUAUAAGAUGAUCCUAACCUCACAUUUUUCAUUUUUUAACUAUUUUUUAUGAUUAAUGAUAAGAUAAAUCCAAACAAGUUUCAAGUUCUGAAACCGGUAAGUCUCUUAACUCUAGACGCUCGUUUCUGAGUUACAUGCAAACCAAGAUUCGGCUACAUGCAAGGGUAUAAGCUAAAUUCUUCUGCGUUUUCUUUUGGUUAGAUUUAGUUGGAGAACUUAAGAAAAACGUUGAGGGUAGAAAGCCAUAGUUGGACGAGUCAAAAUCACACUCUUAGGACGUUCACUACUGAUCCAGAAGGCGAGGCCACUCUAGAGGAUAUUAUUGAAAAAAAAAAUCUGGUUGAAGUGGAAAUUAAAACCGAGCCUUAAAACGCUCGUUCAUAUUAGAAGUUUAGAUGUUAGCUUUUAUUUUGACGUUCGGUUAAAUGUUUUUGUAAAGUCGUUCCUUCUAAACCUUCAUUGUUUCCGCAUUUUAAUUCUGUACUUUAAGCCGUUCGAUUUUUGAACCUCGUUAUUUUAAUGUAAAGACUGCAUUGUUUUA